GGAAGACACAUUGAAGCAGCCGCCAGGUUUCCCAGCUGGCAGCAGAGACUCUUGUCUACGUGAUGUGGACCAGUCCAGCCGAACGUAAUUGUUUCCUGUCUCUACAGCCAAGUCCAAGCAGCUGCGGGACCACAGGGUUUGGGACUGUGGAGCUGUGGGAGCCAAGCGAGACCAGGAAAACUUCCAGCUACAUCUCCUUACUCAAGGUCUAUUCAGGCUUAAGAAUUCCUCAAACACCUGUAGAGAUCUGAGAAUAUGGUAUUUAAUAUAAAAGCAUUUUAUGAUGAAGAGACAUGUCAGCUCCUGGCAGCAUCCUGUAUCUUCUCCAAGAAGAUGGAUGGCCACAGAAGAACUUCCAUCUGGAAGCUUAUGGCAAGGCCAGCCAUGCAGCGAAAAGCUGAGAUCCUGUCAAGACUGUGAAUAAGAGGAGCAAUGGGAGUCAAUUGUCCUCUCUGCCCAGACAGCUGUCUUACAAAUACCUACAGAUUCCUGGGGAAAGUUCUGCUACUGUGUCAAGACAUCUGGUCUGAUGAAAACUUAACCGCUCCAGAGCCCAUUUUGACC